rnacentral:tRNA from 1 species
GCUGCUGUGGGCGAUCCGGAACGCCGGCACCGCUCGCCUCGGUGCGGACGCUGCCGACGGGCUCGCCGCCCGCGGGCAGCUC